rnacentral:rRNA from 1 species
AUUGAACGCUGGCGGCAGGCCUAACACAUGCAAGUCGAACGAGUGGCGGACGGGUGAGUAAUGUCUGGGAAACUGCCCGAUGGAGGGGGAUAACUACUGGAAACGGUAGCUAAUACCGCAUACCAUCGGAUGUGCCCAGAUGGGAUUAGCUAGUAGGUGGGUGAAAGGCUCACCUAGGCGACGAUCCCUAGCUGGUCUGAGAGGAUGACCAGCAACACUGGAAAUGAGACACGGGCCAGACUCCGACGGGAGGCAGCAGUGGGGAAUAUUGCACAAUGGGCGCAAGCCUGAUGCAGCCAGGCCGCGUGUAUGAAGAAGGCCUUCGGGUUGUAAAGGACUUUCAGCGGGGAGGCGUUACCCGCAGAAGAAGCACCGGCUAACUCCGUGCCAGCCGCCGCGGUAAUUC